CUCAUCCACCUAUUUUCAUUUCAGAUUGUUUUGUGAGAAAUCCAAGGCCUCUUUCUCAACCCAAACACACCUCCAUAUCAGAAAUAAUGCUCCCAUUUUUCUCAUCCCGCGUUCUCUUUCCUCUCAAACCCCAUUUCUCUGUCAAAUGAAAAAUAUCUCUCAUUUUCUUAUCCCUUCUCACUCUUAGCCAACCACACCCACGGCUCAGCAAAAACCAAAAACAAUCGACUCUGCCAUGGAACUGAUGGUACAUUGAAGCUCCACAUUCCCCUCAAAGGUAAUCAUCGCCCCUGUCCUGCUCAAUUUAUAUGUCCAGCUAAUGAUUUUAGACAGAAAAGAAGAACACUAACGCAUGCUGAUCUGAUUCCUUUGCGAGGAUGCUCGGGUGCACAACGAAAAAGGUCACACCAGGACCAAAAAGGGGCAAUUCCAAGGUCGAUUGUCCAAAGAGCAUUCAUCUGCAGUUGGGAUGCAGUGGUCCAUGAUCGAGAAACUUGACACAGCAAGGAAAAAGGAACACCAGCUAACAUUGCAGAUCCAGGUCUUACAAAAGUAAUAUCUUGUUCUCUGUUGGUGAUGAACCCCAAUCUGUGAAAAAGUUGCUUCAUUACUUCUGCAUGUAGGCAGACAUGUGUUGCUUGUGCAGAACACUCGGAUCCAUGAUAGAGCCAAGGGAAAAAGAAGUAACCACACAAGCUCAACAAACGAAAACAGCACAGGCCGCAUGACCCAGAUCGAUGCAUCUGGGAGCAUUGUGUAGAUGUGGUUGAUGUGAAGGUAGACUUGCUGUUGGGUGCAAGAUUCCAGCAUAGGACGCGCUUUAUUUUCCACGUUCGCAACCUGCAAUUAACCAAUAUGCGUUAAAAAAAAACAAAAAAAAAAACUGGAUCCCCAGAAAUUAAAGAUUGCUUAAAAGUACCCUUCAGAGAAGGAACCACUGCAAAUUUUUCUCCCUGCGUCUCCUCAAAGUCUACUCCAGUUCUGGAUCAAAAGGAAACAAUUUCUGCACUGUUGAACGGGUGCUGACAAUGCACAGAUUAUCUUUGUAAUCUGAACUGUACUGCUGUAAUUUGUGAAAAAUAAAAUAAAAAAGAAAAUUAAAUUAUUAUUUUUUUAUAUGUAUAAACAGCAAUAACUAAUUGAAAAUCUGAUUAGUAA